AACGAACGCUGGCGGCAGGCCUAACACAUGCAAGUCGAGCGGACCCUUCGGGGUUAGCGGCGGACGGGUGAGUAACGCGUGGGAAUAUGCCCUUCUCUACGGAAUAGUCCUGGGAAACUGGGGGUAAUACCGUAUACGCCCUCUGGGGGAAAGAUUUAUCGGGGAAGGAUUAGCCCGCGUUGGAUUAGGUAGUUGGUGGGGUAAUGGCCUACCAAGCCGACGAUCCAUAGCUGGUUUGAGAGGAUGAUCAGCCACACUGGGACUGAGACACGGCCCAGACUCCUACGGGAGGCAGCAGUGGGGAAUCUUAGACAAUGGGGGCAACCCUAAUCUAGCCAUGCCGCGUGAGUGAUGAAGGCCUUAGGGUUGUAAAGCUCUUUCAGCUGGGAAGAUAAUGACGGUACCAGCAGAAGAAGCCCCGGCUAACUCCGUG
rnacentral:rRNA from 1 species